UGGAUUGGCCAAAAAGUUCAUUCGGGUUUUUCUGUAAAAUGUUAUGAAAACUUUUUGGCCAACCCA
rnacentral:miRNA from 1 species